UACGAAGGGGGGCUAGCGUUGCUCGGAAUCACUGGGCGUAAAGCGCACGUAGGCGGAUCGAUCAGUCAGGGGGUGAAAAUCCCAGAGCUCAACUCUGGAACUGCCUUUGAUACUGUCGAUCUAGAGUAUGGAAGAGGUGAGUGGAAUUCCGAGUGUAGAGGUGAAAUUCGUAGAUAUUCGGAGGAACACCAGUGGCGAAGGCGGCUCACUGGUCCAUUACUGACGCUGAGGUGCGAAAAGCGUGGGGGAGCAAACAGG
rnacentral:rRNA from 1 species